CGCGGGAGAUCCACCCUGCUUAGUCCGCGCCCGAGCCCCCGUCCGUGGGAACAGACAAGGGGCCUCCGCAGCGCCUCACAACCCCCGACCAGGUCCAGCGGCGGGGGACUCGGCCGUGGAGGGCGCUGUUCGGUCUGCAUGGCUCCCCCCAUCAGCGGGAGGCUACACCCCCCACCAGCAGGGGCAAGAGGAGCAGCGGGAUGGGAGCAGGCCAACGUCCUGCGGCCUGGUUGAGCUCGCACUGACAAUCGCAGCUCAGGCGCUCAGGACUGCCAGGACCCAGAGGAUUCACACGACAGCCCCGGCUGAAGCCCAGCUCCUCAUCAACCGGUGAGCCGCCUGCCAGCUCCUGCUCCAGCUGCUGAGAAGCCUGAAGAGACCAAGACAGAGACACAGCCCCGCAGCACCACAGGGAGGCCCCAGUUACCCCAUGCGGAUGAGUUUCAUGGCCAUCUCUAACUAAGGACAGGACAUCGAUGUCAUCUGUAACUUCCAGUGCACUGGGGCACACAGCUGCAUCUCCCCAUGCUCACCUCCUGCCUCUUGCUCUGCCCAGUGUGAGGACUCAGCCUGGAUCACCUCCUCCAGGACAAGAACAACCUACCAUCAUCUGUCCGUCCAAUCUACCCACCCAUCCAUCUCUGCCUCUGGGCAUGCAUCCGUCCGUCCAUCCAUCCCCGCCUCUGUGCAUGCAUCUGUCCAUCCAUCCCCGCCUCUGUGCAUGCAUCUGUCCAUUCAUCCCCGCCUCUGUGCAUGCAUCUGUCCAUUCAUCCCCGCCUCUGUGCAUGCAUCUGUCCAUUCAUCCCCACCUCUGUGCAUGCAUCUGUCCGUCCAUCCAUCCCUGCCUCUGUGCAUGCAUCUGUCCAUCCAUCCCCGCCUCUGUGCAUGCAUCUGUCCAUCCAUCCAUCCCUGCCUCUGUGCAUGCAUCUGUCCAUCCAUCCAUCCCUGCCUCUGUGCAUGCAUCUGUCCAUUCAUCCCUGCCUCUGUGCAUGCAUCUCUCCAUCCAUCCAUCCCUGCCUCUGUGCAUGCAUCUGUCCGUCCAUCCAUCCCUGCCUCUGUGCAUGCAUCUGUCCGUCCAUUCAUCCCUGCCUCUGUGCAUGCAUCUGUCCAUUCAUCCAUCCCUGACUCUGUGCAUGCAUCUGUCCAUCCAUCCAUCCUUGCCUCUAUGCAUGCAUCUGUCCGUGCAUCCAUACCUGCCUCUGUGCAUGCAUCUGUCAGUCUAUCAAUCCCCGAUCCCUUCUUUGUAAUGGUGUUGAGUGCUCACAACUCCCUCAUCCUAAGACGCUCGUUGGAUCCAUUCCCUCCCGUCACCCCAUGCUGCUCUCUGCCCUCCCUUCCCGGUCAAGUUCUCCAGCCAGUGGUCUCAACUCAAUCUUCACUUCCCCCGCUCCUCUCACACCUAUCCCCACUGCAUUCUAAAUUCUUCCCCAACGCGCUGGGCCUACAGGCACUAAAAAGGUCACUUUGUCCCUGGAUGACCAAACACAGGCCAAUGUAACUUACUGGGCUUGUUUUGCCCCAGCCACAGCUGACCACUUCCUCCUUCACUCUUGUUGUUGAUCACCUUUGGGCUUAGUCUUUCUCCAUCUCUGUUGAGUCCUUCUCCCCUGCCACCUACUCCUUCAUGCUGGGGUUCUCUGUAGCUCUGUACCUGACAGUCACGUUCCACCCUUUCCUCCCAGAAGCUCGCCAACCCCCGUGGACUGCUGGCUCUCAAGGCGACCGCUAGCCCAGCUCCGACAGCAGCUGACAAUGCACAGUAUGCGGCCCGGGACAGGCCCUGUGCUGAGAGGCAUGGGUGAAUCGCUCAUUUCAUCGGCAAGCCCACGCCACCAGCAGGCGCCGUUCUCCUCGCAUUUCUCAGGGUCUCACUUUGUCACCCAGGCCGCAGUGCAGUGGUGUGAACACAGCUCAUUGCAGUCUCAACCUCCCUGACUCAAGCAAUCCUCCUGCCUUAGCCUCCUGAGUAGCUGGGACUACAAGCAUGUGCCACCACGCCCAGCCGAAGCCCAUAUGUGAAUGUUGAGGCACACAGCCUCCCCAGCCUCUGCCUCACCAAGCCCUCCGCAGGGCCUAGGCACCCUCCCUGGCUGCCCCCUUCCCCUGUCACUCAGGCUCCCCAGCAGCCAAUGUAGUUAACAUGGGGCUACAAAGAGCUGGGCCUGGCCUCAGGUGGGACCGCCUCCCCGGCAUUGCCAUCCCUGCUGCAGAGCUCCCAUGCGAUCAGCCUCCUCUCCAGCUGAGACCACAUCCUCACUCAGCUUCUAGGCUGUUCCUGCUCCCCAUUCCCCUCAGCACAUGGCCCCUGAGAAACUCCUUGCACAAGAAUUUCCCUCUGGAGCCCCACCUCUGGGGAACCUGACCUCAGACAGAGGAGACCAAGCUCUAGGGCAGGAUCCUCCACCUCCCUUGCCCCACCCGUGUGGCCAGCCCGGAGCGCUGCAGACUCCCGCCCAGAUCUGCACUUGUGCCUGCCUUCUGCCAGCCUGCUCCUCCUCCUCCCACUCUCACACCUGCAUUAACAGCACCAGGACUCCAUCCUCCAAGGGCCCCAGCCUCAUCUCCCCUGUCACCAGGAUCCAGCCAGAUCUCAAUCCUAACUGAACCUCCCUCAGAUCCGUCCACUUCCCCCUUCCCCAGGACCACACUCCAUCAUCUCUUGCCUGGACCCUGCGAGAACUUCCUGCCUCCCUGCCUCUAUCCUACCCCCUGCCCCCCGCUGAAGCUGAUGAUAGUUCCGGAAUGCAAAACCCCUUAAUGAUUCCCCCAUUGAUCAAAGUCUUCCACAUGCUUUCAAGGUCCUUGGUGAUCCGGGACCUGCCGCCUUCUGCAGUCUCCCUACUGAUGCCAUAGUUUUGGCUUCUGGCCUCAUAUGUCCUGGGUCAUUUCUCUGGUCACUGGCUCCUCGUUCCCCUGACUCAGCUGGCUCACUGCUUUCCCAUUGGAUCUCAAACCCUGUGUACCUGGGGAGAGCGGAACUCUGUAUGUCUUGUCUUGUGCUAGUAGGCACUCAGUGUGUAUGUGUGGAUAUUCAUAUAUAUAUAUAUUUGAGAUGGAGUUUUGCUCUUGUUGCCCAGGCUGGAGUGCAGUGGCACGAUCUCGGCUCACUGCAACCUCUGCCUCCAGGAUUCAAUUGAUUCUCCUGCCUCAGCCUCUCCAGUAGCUGGGAUUACAGGCGUGCACCACCACACCCGGCUAAUUUUUUGUAUUUUUAGUAGAGACGGGGUUUCAACAUGUUGGUCAGGCUGGUCUCAAACUCCUGACCUCAGGUGAUCCACCCACCUGUGCUUCCCGAAGUGCUAGGAUUACAGAUGAAAGCAAUCACGCCCGGCCUAUAUUCAUAUAUAUAUUGAGGGAAUGAAGUCACCUCUUCUAGGAAGCCUCCCCUUGCCCAAGAGCUUUGGGCCAACAUCUCUGAGCCCCUGCAGGCUUGAGGACUUCCUCUGCUGGGAUUCUGUGGAGCUGUGUCACCGUGGGUGUUGUCAUUGCCAGUCACUCUUCUGACUCAGCUGCCAGGUAAAGAUUUGUUUUCGUCUCUGCAAGCCCCCAGCUCUGGCUUGGAGCUAGGCACCUGCUAGGCCUCUGUGAUGGUUCAUUGUGUGUGUCAGUUUGGCCCGGCUGUCGUACCCAGCUGGUUGGUGAAACACCAGUCUAGAUGCCAUGGUGAAGGUCUUUGUAGAUGCAAUUAACAUCUACAAUCAGUUGACCUUAAGUCAAGUAGAUCAUGCUCCAUAGUGUGGCUGGGGGUGGGGUGGGGGCAGAGCCAAUCAGUUCAAGGCCUUGAGAGCUAAAGCUAAGGUUUCCUGGAGAGGAAGGAAUUCUGCCUCCAGACUGUCACUGAAAUCCUGAGUUGCCAGCCUGCCGUACAAAUUUUGGACUUGCUAGCCCCUACAAUCCCGUGAGCCAAUUCCUUAAAAUAAAUCUCUUUACACACACGCACACACACACCCCCCCACACACACACCCCCCCCACACACAUCCCACACACAUGUGCACACACACACACACAUCCUGUUGGUUUUGUUUCUCUGGAGACCUCCCAGCUGAUAAAGCCUCCGUCAAUAAAUAUACUUUAAACCUAAUUAUUGGCCAGGAGUGGUGGCUCA
rnacentral:lncRNA from 1 species